rnacentral:rRNA from 1 species
UUAAGCGACUAAGCGUACACGGUGGAUGCCCUGGCAGUCAGAGGCGAUGAAGGACGUGCUAAUCUGCGAUAAGCGUCGGUAAGGUGAUAUGAACCGUUGUAACCGGCGAUUUCCGAAUGGGGAAACCCAGUGUGAUUCGUCACACUAUCAUUAACUGAAUCCAUAGGUUAAUGAGGCGAACCGGGGGAACUGAAACAUCUAAGUACCCCGAGGAAAAGAAAUCAACCGAGAUUCCCCCAGUAGCGGCGAGCGAACGGGGAGNCCAUCCUCCAAGGCUAAAUACUCCUGACUGACCGAUAGUGAACCAGUACCGUGAGGGAAAGGCGAAAAGAACCCCGGCGAGGGGAGUGAAAAAGAACCUGAAACCGUGUACGUACAAGCAGUGGGAGCACGCUUAGGCGUGUGACUGCGUACCUUUUGUAUAAUGGGUCAGCGACUUAUAUUCUGUAGCAAGGUUAACCGAAUAGGGGAGCCGAAGGGAAACCGAGUCUUAACUGGGCGUUAAGUUGCAGGGUAUAGACCCGAAACCCGGUGAUCUAGCCAUGGGCAGGUUGAAGGUUGGGUAACACUAACUGGAGGACCGAACCGACUAAUGUUGAAAAAUUAGCGGAUGACUUGUGGCUGGGGGUGAAAGGCCAAUCAAACCGGGAGAUAGCUGGUUCUCCCCGAAAGCUAUUUAGGUAGCGCCUCGUGAAUUCAUCUCCGGGGGUAGAGCACUGUUUCGGCAAGGGGGUCAUCCCGACUUACCAACCCGAUGCAAACUGCGAAUACCGGAGAAUGUUAUCACGGGAGACACACGGCGGGUGCUAACGUCCGUCGUGAAGAGGGAAACAACCCAGACCGCCAGCUAAGGUCCCAAAGUCAUGGUUAAGUGGGAAACGAUGUGGGAAGGCCCAGACAGCCAGGAUGUUGGCUUAGAAGCAGCCAUCAUUUAAAGAAAGCGUAAUAGCUCACUGGUCGAGUCGGCCUGCGCGGAAGAUGUAACGGGGCUAAACCAUGCACCGAAGCUGCGGCAGCGACGCUUAUGCGUUGUUGGGUAGGGGAGCGUUCUGUAAGCCUGCGAAGGUGUGCUGUGAGGCAUGCUGGAGGUAUCAGAAGUGCGAAUGCUGACAUAAGUAACGAUAAAGCGGGUGAAAAGCCCGCUCGCCGGAAGACCAAGGGUUCCUGUCCAACGUUAAUCGGGGCAGGGUGAGUCGACCCCUAAGGCGAGGCCGAAAGGCGUAGUCGAUGGGAAACAGGUUAAUAUUCCUGUACUUGGUGUUACUGCGAAGGGGGGACGGAGAAGGCUAUGUUGGCCGGGCGACGGUUGUCCCGGUUUAAGCGUGUAGGCUGGUUUUCCAGGCAAAUCCGGAAAAUCAAGGCUGAGGCGUGAUGACGAGGCACUACGGUGCUGAAGCAACAAAUGCCCUGCUUCCAGGAAAAGCCUCUAAGCAUCAGGUAACAUCAAAUCGUACCCCAAACCGACACAGGUGGUCAGGUAGAGAAUACCAAGGCGCUUGAGAGAACUCGGGUGAAGGAACUAGGCAAAAUGGUGCCGUAACUUCGGGAGAAGGCACGCUGAUAUGUAGGUGAAGUCCCUUGCGGAUGGAGCUGAAAUCAGUCGAAGAUACCAGCUGGCUGCAACUGUUUAUUAAAAACACAGCACUGUGCAAACACGAAAGUGGACGUAUACGGUGUGACGCCUGCCCGGUGCCGGAAGGUUAAUUGAUGGGGUCAGCGCAAGCGAAGCUCUUGAUCGAAGCCCCGGUAAACGGCGGCCGUAACUAUAACGGUCCUAAGGUAGCGAAAUUCCUUGUCGGGUAAGUUCCGACCUGCACGAAUGGCGUAAUGAUGGCCAGGCUGUCUCCACCCGAGACUCAGUGAAAUUGAACUCGCUGUGAAGAUGCAGUGUACCCGCGGCAAGACGGAAAGACCCCGUGAACCUUUACUAUAGCUUGACACUGAACAUUGAGCCUUGAUGUGUAGGAUAGGUGGGAGGCUUUGAAGUGUGGACGCCAGUCUGCAUGGAGCCGGCCUUGAAAUACCACCCUUUAAUGUUUGAUGUUCUAACGUGGACCCGUGAUCCGGGUUGCGGACAGUGUCUGGUGGGUAGUUUGACUGGGGCGGUCUCCUCCUAAAGAGUAACGGAGGAGCACGAAGGUUGGCUAAUCCUGGUCGGACAUCAGGAGGUUAGUGCAAUGGCAUAAGCCAGCUUGACUGCGAGCGUGACGGCGCGAGCAGGUGCGAAAGCAGGUCAUAGUGAUCCGGUGGUUCUGAAUGGAAGGGCCAUCGCUCAACGGAUAAAAGGUACUCCGGGGAUAACAGGCUGAUACCGCCCAAGAGUUCAUAUCGACGGCGGUGUUUGGCACCUCGAUGUCGGCUCAUCACAUCCUGGGGCUGAAGUAGGUCCCAAGGGUAUGGCUGUUCGCCAUUUAAAGUGGUACGCGAGCUGGGUUUAGAACGUCGUGAGACAGUUCGGUCCCUAUCUGCCGUGGGCGCUGGAGAACUGAGGGGGGCUGCUCCUAGUACGAGAGGACCGGAGUGGACGCAUCACUGGUGUUCGGGUUGUCAUGCCAAUGGCACUGCCCGGUAGCUAAAUGCGGAAGAGAUAAGUGCUGAAAGCAUCUAAGCACGAAACUUGCCCCGAGAUGAGUUCUCCCUGACCCUUUAAGGGUCCUGAAGGAACGUUGAAGACGACGACGUUGAUAGGCCGGGUGUGUAAGCGCAGCGAUGCGUUGAGCUAACCGGUACUAAUGAACCGUGAGGCUUAACCUU